UACCGUGAGGGAAAGGCGAAAAGAACCCCGGCGAGGGGAGUGAAAUAGUUCCUGAAACCAUACGCUUACAAGCGGUAGGAGCCAUUUUUAUGGUGACUGCGUGCCUUUUGCAUAAUGAUCCUACGAGUUACUCCUCUCUAGCAAGGAUAAGAAUUUUUGAUUCGAAUCCGUAGCGAAAGCAAGUCUGAAUAGGGCGCUUAGUUAGAGGGGGUAGACGCGAAACCAAGUGAUCUACCCAUGACCAGGUUGAAACUCCGUUAAUCCGGAGUGGAGGACCGAACCAAUAUACGUUGAAAAGUGUUUGGAUGAGUUGUGGGUAGGGGUGAAAGGCUAAUCAAACUUGGAAAUAGCUCGUACUCUCCGAAAUGCAUUUAGGUGCAGCCUCGAUAUUAUUGUCAUAGAGGUAGAGCUACUGAUUGGAUGCGGGGGCUUCAUCGCCUACCAAUUCCAGACAAACUCCGAAUGCUAUGACAUUUGAUCGGGAGUGAGGCAGUGGGUGCUAAGGUCCAUUGCCAAGAGGGAAACAACCCAGACUAUCAGCUAAAGUCCCUAAAUAUACGCUAAGUUGAUCUAACGUGGUGCGAUUGCAUUGACAGCUAGGAUGUUGGCUUGGAAGCAGCCAUUCAUUUAAAGAGUGCGUAACAGCUCACUAGUCGAGCGAUUGUGCAUGGAUAAUAAUCGGGCAUAAGCGUAUUACUGAAGCUAUAGAUCUAUUUUUAUAGAUGGUAGGAGAGCAUUCUAAUUAUAUUGAAGGUUUAAUGUCAAUUAAACUGGAAUGAUUAGAAAAGAAAAUGUAGGUAUAAGUAACGAUAAAGCGGGCGAGAAACCCGCUCACCAAUAGACUAAGGUUUCCCCAGCCAUGCUAAUCAGCUGGGGGUUAGUCGGGUCCUAAGGCGAACCCAAACGGGGUAGUCGAUGGACAACAGGUUAAUAUUCCUGUACUAGCAUUAACUGCGAUGGGAUGACGGAGAAGUGAAAGAUACGCGUGCUGACAGAAUAGCACGUCUAAGAACGUAGGUAUAGAUUUGUAGGCAAAUCCGCAAGUCUGCUGAAAUUCGAGUGAUAACUGAUCCUUCUGGUGACGGAAGUAUCCUAAUCAUGCUCCCAAGAAAAACCUCUAAGCUUCAGGUUAUAGCUACCCGUACCGCAAACCGACACAGGUAGUCAAGAUGAGAAUUCUAAGGUGCUCGAGUGAUCCGUGGCUAAGGAACUAGGCAAAAUGGUCCUGUAACUUCGGGAGAAAGGACGCUUACAUUUGUAAGCCGCAGUGAAUGGGCCCAGGCGACUGUUUAUCAAAAACACAUGGCUUUGCUAAAUCGAAAGAUGAUGUAUAAGGCCUGACACCUGCCCGGUGCCGGAAGGUUAAGAGGAGGGGUUAUACUUCGGUAGAAGCUCUGAAUUGAAGCCCCGGUAAACGGCGGCCGUAACUAUAACGGUCCUAAGGUAGCGAAAUUCCUUGUCGGGUAAGUUCCGACCUGCACGAAUGGUGUAACGAUCUGGGCGCUGUCUCGGCCACGAGCUCGGUGAAAGUGUAGUAUCGGUGAAGAUGCCGAGUACCCGCAACGGGACGGAAAGACCCCGUGCACCUUUACUAUAGCUUCACAUUGGUAUUGGAUAAUUGACGUGUAGGAUAGGUGGGAGA
rnacentral:rRNA from 1 species